UUAAAGGAAUUGACGGGGCCCGCACAAGCGGUGGAGCAUGUGGUUUAAUUCGACGCAACGCGAAGAACCUUACCAGGGCUUGACAUCCCCUGACCGCGUAUGAAAGUACGUUUUCACCCUCGGGUGACAGGGAGACAGGUGGUGCAUGGUUGUCGUCAGCUCGUGUCGUGAGAUGUUGGGUUAAGUCCCGCAACGAGCGCAACCCCUACGUUUAGUUGCUAACGCGUGAAGGCGAGCACUCUAGACGAACUGCCGUUGACAAAACGGAGGAAGGUGGGGAUGACGUCAAAUCAUCAUGCCCCUUAUGUUCUGGGCUACACACGUGCUACAAUGGCCGGUACAGACGGACGCAAAGCCGCGAGGUGGAGCAAAUCCUAAAAAGCCGGUCUCAGUUCGGAUUGCAGGCUGCAAUUCGCCUGCAUGAAGUCGGAAUCGCUAGUAAUCGCAGGUCAGCAUACUGCGGUGAAUACGUUCCCGGGCCUU
rnacentral:rRNA from 1 species